CGAUGAGCAAGAAGCAGGAGAUGAAACUCCUGAUGUGGCCUUCAGGAACACCCACCCCAUCGCAGCUGAGCAUCUCCACCAGAUAAGAAAACGCCCAAGACACAGUAAAGAAGACAUGUUCCAGGAGGUCCUGCAGUGCUCCAAUGCA